rnacentral:miRNA from 1 species
UCCGCAGAUGAGAUGACACUG